rnacentral:rRNA from 1 species
UACAGAGGGUGCAAGCGUUAAUCGGAAUUACUGGGCGUAAAGCGUGCGCAGGCGGCGCGUUAAGACAGGUGUGAAAGCCCCCGAGCUUAACUUGGGAAUUGCGCUUGUGACUGGCGAGCUGGAGUGUGGCAGAGGGAGGUGGAAUUCCACGUGUAGCAGUGAAAUGACGUAGAGAUGUGGAGGAACACCGAUGGCGAAGGCAGCCUCCUGGGCCAGCACUGACGCUCAUGCACGAAGCGUGGGAGCAAACAGGA